ACAUUAUUUUUCACAUUGCAUCGUAUAUCGUCGAGAAUAUGGCUUGACAGUUUCUACCGGGCUGCCGUAAAUGGCCCGACUACGAAUGGAUGGAAAGAGAAU
rnacentral:ncRNA from 1 species